rnacentral:rRNA from 1 species
UACGUAGGUGGCAAGCGUUGUCCGGAUUUAUUGGGUUUAAAGGGUGCGUAGGCGGCCGCUUAAGUCAGUUGUGAAAUAUCCCGGCUCAACCGGGAGGGUGCGAUUGAUACUGAGCGGCUCGAGUAACAGCGAGGUUGGCGGAAUUGACGGUGUAGCGGUGAAAUGCAUAGAUAUCGUCAAGAACACCGAUAGCGGAGGCAGCCAACUAGGGGUUAAACUGACGCGUGAGGCAACGAAAAGUGCGGGGGAUCAAACAGG